rnacentral:rRNA from 1 species
AUGUCCAUUAUUACUCCCACUACUUUACAUACUGUCAAUGAACUCAUUGAUGAAGAAAAUUGGACAUGGAAGACGGAUCUUGUUCGACAAAAUUUUCUCGCUCUGGAUGCAGAAACUAUCUUGAAUAUACCAUUGCGUACCGGAGGUGGGGAUGAUUUCUUUGCUUGGGCUUUUGAAAACUUGGGUGUGUACACUGUCAAGUCGGCGUACCGUGCUCUCAUGAAUCAGAAAGAGCGUAAAGCUCUAGAGGAAGGGACGGCUACCGGUGCCCCAAAAUCUGAACAACAGAUGUGGACAUCUCUGUGGAAGCUCAAAGUUGUGCCUAAGGUCAGAGUUUUU